AUUGAACGCUGGCGGCAUGCCUUACACAUGCAAGUCGAACGGCAGCACGGGUGCUUGCCCCUGGUGGCGAGUGGCGAACGGGUGAGUAAUACAUCGGAACAUGUCCUGUAGUGGGGGAUAGCCCGGCGAAAGCCGGAUUAAUACCGCAUACGAUCUACGGCUGAAAGCGGGGGACCUUCGGGCCUCGCGCUAUCGGGUUGGCCGAUGGCUGAUUAGCUAGUUGGUGGGGUAAAGGCCUACCAAGGCGACGAUCAGUAGCUGGUCUGAGAGGACGACCAGCCACACUGGGACUGAGACACGGCCCAGACUCCUACGGGAGGCAGCAGUGGGGAAUUUUGGACAAAGGGCGAAAGCCUGAUCCAGCAAUGCCGCGUGUGUGAAGAAGGCCUUCUGGUUGUAAAGCACUUUUGUCCGGAAAGAAAUCCUUGGCCCUAAUACGGUCGGGGGAUGACGGUACCGGAAGAAUAAGCACCGGCUAACUACGUG
rnacentral:rRNA from 1 species